UGGGGAAUAUUGCACAAUGGGCGCAAGCCUGAUGCAGCCAUGCCGCGUGUGUGAAGAAGGCCUUCGGGUUGUAAAGCACUUUCAGCGGGGAGGAAGGCGGUGAGGUUAAUAACCUCAUCGAUUGACGUUACCCGCAGAAGAAGCACCGGCUAACUCCGUGCCAGCAGCCGCGGUAAUACGGAGGGUGCAAGCGUUAAUCGGAAUUACUGGGCGUAAAGCGCACGCAGGCGGUCUGUCAAGUCGGAUGUGAAAUCCCCGUGCUCAACCUGGGAACUGCAUUCGAAACUGGCAGGCUUGAGUCUUGUAGAGGGGUGUAGAAUUCCAGGUGUAGCGGUGAAAUGCGUAGAGAUCUGGAGGAAUACCGGUGGCGAAGGCGGCCCCCUGGACAAAGACUGACGCUCAGGUGCGAAAGCGUGGGGAGCAAACAGG
rnacentral:rRNA from 1 species